rnacentral:rRNA from 1 species
AGAACGCUGGCGGCAGGCCUAACACAUGCAAGUCGAGCGGAUGAGAGGAGCUUGCUCCUCGAUUCAGCGGCGGACGGGUGAGUAAUGCCUAGGAAUCUGCCUAGUAGUGGGGGACAACGUUUCGAAAGGAACGCUAAUACCGCAUACGUCCUACGGGAGAAAGUGGGGGAUCUUCGGACCUCACGCUAUUAGAUGAGCCUAGGUCGGAUUAGCUAGUUGGUAGGGUAAAGGCCUACCAAGGCGACGAUCCGUAACUGGUCUGAGAGGAUGAUCAGUCACACUGGAACUGAGACACGGUCCAC